AUUGAACGCUGGCGGCAUGCUUUACACAUGCAAGUCGAACGGUAACAGGUUAAGCUGACGAGUGGCGAACGGGUGGGUAAUGCAUCGGAACGUGCCCGAUCGUGGGGGAUAACGCAGCGAAAGCUGCGCUAAUACCGCAUACGAUCUGAGGAUGAAAGCGGGGGACCGUAAGGUCUCGCGCGAUCGGAGCGGCCGAUGUCAGAUUAGGUAGUUGGUGGGGUAAAGGCCCACCAAGCCGACGAUCUGUAGCUGGUCUGAGAGGACGACCAGCCACACUGGGACUGAGACACGGCCCAGACUCCUACGGGAGGCAGCAGUGGGGAAUUUUGGACAAUGGGCGAAAGCCUGAUCCAGCAAUGCGGCGUGCAGGAAGAAGGCCUUCGGGUUGUAAACUGCUUUUGUACGGAGCGAAAAGGUCCUUUCUAAUACAAGGGGCUCAGGACGGUACCGUAAGAAUAAGCACCGGCUAACUACGUGCCAGCCGCCGCCGUAA
rnacentral:rRNA from 1 species